CGACCUGAAAGAGAAAAGCAAAAAUAAAUAAAUAAAUAAAAUUAAAGAUUAAUAUUGCUAAAUGUAGCCAAUUCAGUUAAAUAAUAAUAGAAGUUUCUUUUGAAGAUGCAUCUGGUAGUUUUAUAGUACUCGAUUCCGUACUUCGUCUCGUCUUAGACUAAACCUUGUUUGGACUCGGACUUGUCUCGGUCUCUGGGUGAGUUGGAUGUGGACACUGUGGACAAGACCAAGUCCUCUGUCUGAGAAGUUCACUCAAACAGACUUAAUCAGGGUGCCAGGAGUGGUCCAGCAGUCUAAUGCGCUGCCAAUAUGAGUGGGAGGUCACAGGUUCGAAUCCCGUUCAUGCAGCUUGCCAUCAGCUGCCGGCAAUCAGAGGGAGCACAAGUGGAAUUAUCGGAACCGAAUCGCUGUGCUUUCCUCCGAGCGCACUGGCUGCUUAGCCAAUGAUUCAGGCGCCAAUAGUGAUGGGGACGCACAAAGGAGUGGGACGAUUGGAUAGCCAAAUUGACAGGAAAAAUAGAUCCAAUACCAUGUGAGAGGGACCAUUCUUAACUUUCACCACUGCAAGUAUAGGUGUUCAGAUUGAAGAGAACAGAAGUGACAUCAGCAAUACGUUACUGGUUUUAUAUUCUGGAAUCCUCUCUACAGUAUCUUCUUCUGCUUGUACGCAGUAGGGGUGGGCGGAUCGAUUUACAGUAUCGAUACUAUCAAUACUAACGUUGGAAUUAGGUAUUUAUCGUAAGUAAUGAGUCCUAUUUUUUCAUGUAUAAAUUACUGUGAAGUUUGUAUUUUGUGUUUUUUUAUUUGCUUUAUUCUGUUAAUUUACAUUUAUAGCUAUUUUUUGUGUGUUUUCCAAAGCAUUAUGGGUUGUCAGUUUUAUUUGUUGUUUUCUGUUGAAGUGUCUACUAACGGUAAAUAGCUGUUUCCUGGUAGUUUGAGCUGCUUUUCUUUCUUUUUUUUUGGUGGAUCCAGUAAAACUCAUCAGCUUGUUUUGUGCUUGCUAAAAUACACCUAAAUAAAAAGGGGUC